GCAAUAAAGAAAUGCUACUCAUUCCAAAUUCCAAAAAAAUAUAUGUCCCCUUCUUUCUCGCUUUCGGCAGCUAAUACUAUUUGAAUCUUCUCUGCUAACCAUGGGAGCAGAUGGUAGCGCACUUGUUUACCCCAAAUACUUGCUCACUUCUACUUUAAAAAAAAUAUUCAUCUGAGGAAGAGGUAGACUAUCAGGAGGUUGAAGAUCAGGAGGUUGACUAUCACGAGGUUGAAGAUCACGAGGUUGAAGUUCAGGAGAUUAUUCAACCGGACUUUGCCGUUAUAGGUUUUGGCCCGGUGUACUUCACUACCCGAGAUGAUGUAUUUACUAUUUUGCCUUUUGAUAACAGGAGUACGCUCUUUGAUGUUGGUGCCUUGUUCCACGUAAACUAUUUUUUUCUUUAGUUGCGGGUUUAUUGUUAUUACCCGGACAUUAGGGUUUUCUUUCCUUCCUAAUUAAAGGAUGUGUGCUUGCUUGUUAUUUGCCACUUUCCUUGUAAUCAAAUUUCGGAUGAGGCUGUCUAAAUUUUUCUGUUUGUAGCAAAAAAAUCUGACAUCUUUGGAGCUUCUCCAAAAGUUCCCAGAAACACGGUCUACCAAAUUUUGAUUUC